rnacentral:rRNA from 1 species
AGGAUGAACGCUGGCGGCGUGCUUAACACAUGCAAGUCGAACGAAGCACUUUACUACGAUUUCUUCGGAAUGACGGUUUUGUGACUGAGUGGCGGACGGGUGAGUAACGCGUGGGUAACCUGCCUCAUACAGGGGGAUAACAGUUGGAAACGGCUGCUAAUACCGCAUAAGCGCACAGUACCGCAUGGUACCGUGUGAAAAACUCCGGUGGUAUGAGAUGGACCCGCGUCUGAUUAGCUAGUUGGUGGGGUAACAGCCUACCAAGGCGACGAUCAGUAGCCGACCUGAGAGGGUGACCGGCCACAUUGGGACUGAGACACGGCCCAAACUCCUACGGGAGGCAGCAGUGGGGAAUAUUGCACAAUGGGCGAAAGCCUGAUGCAGCGACGCCGCGUGAGCGAAGAAGUAUUUCGGUAUGUAAAGCUCUAUCAGCAGGGAAGAUAAUGACGGUACCUGACUAAGAAGCACCGGCUAAAUACGUG